CCUACGGGAGGCUGCAGUGAGGAAUAUUGGUCAAUGGACGAGAGUCUGAACCAGCCAAGUAGCGUGAAGGAUGACUGCCCUAUGGGUUGUAAACUUCUUUUAUAAAGGAAUAAAACGAGGCACGUGUGCCUUUUUGCAUGUACUUUAUGAAUAAGGAUCGGCUAACUCCGUGCCAGCAGCCGCGGUAAUACGGAGGAUCCGAGCGUUAUCCGGAUUUAUUGGGUUUAAAGGGAGCGUAGAUGGGUUGUUAAGUCAGUUGUGAAAGUUUGCGGCUCAACCGUAAAAUUGCAAUUGAUACUGGCAGUCGUGAGGACAGUUGAGGUAGGCGGAAUUCGUGGUGUAGCGGUGAAAUGCUUAGAUAGCACGAAGAACCCCGAUUGCGAAGGCAGCUUACUAAACUGUGACUGACAUUGAUGCUCGAAAGUGUGGGUAUCAAACAGGAUUAGAUACCCCUGUAGUC
rnacentral:rRNA from 1 species